UACGUAGGGUGCGAGCGUUGUCCGGAAUUAUUGGGCGUAAAGGGCUCGUAGGCGGUUUGUCGCGUCGGGAGUGAAAACCUCGGGCUUAACUCGGGGCUUGCUUUCGAUACGGGCAGACUAGAGGUAUGCAGGGGAGAACGGAAUUCCUGGUGUAGCGGUGAAAUGCGCAGAUAUCAGGAGGAACACCAGGUGGCGAAGGCGGUCACUCGUGGCGAACUGA
rnacentral:rRNA from 1 species